GACGGAGGGUGCUAGCGUUGUUCGGAAUCACUGGGCGUAAAGCGCGCGUAGGCGGCUACUUAAGUCGGAUGUGAAAGCCCCUGGCUCAACUGGGGAAGUGCACCCGAAACUGAGUAGCUUGAGUGCAAAAGAGGGCCGCGGAAUUCCCGGUGUAGAGGUGAAAUUCGUAGAUAUCGGGGGGAACACCGGUGGCGAAGGCGGCGGCCUGGGUUGACACUGACGCUGAGGCGCGAAAGCGUGGGGAGCAAACAGG
rnacentral:rRNA from 1 species